rnacentral:tRNA from 1 species
AGGAGGUUAGUGUAGUGGUUAUCACGUUUCGUUUACACCGAAAAGGUCACCGGUUCGAACCCGGUACUUCCUA